rnacentral:rRNA from 1 species
UACAGAGGGGGCAAGCGUUGUUCGGAAUUACUGGGCGUAAAGGGCGCGUAGGCGGCCUUCUAAGUCGAACGUGAAAUCCCCGGGCUCAACCCGGGAACUGCGUCCGAUACUGGGAGGCUUGAAUCCGGGAGAGGGAUGUGGAAUUCCAGGUGUAGCGGUGAAAUGCGCAGAUAUCAGGAGGAACACCGGUGGCGAAGGCGGGUCUCUGGGCCGAUACUGACGCUGAGGAGCGAAAGCGUGGGGAGCGAACAGG